ACACAUGUUCACCGUUAAGCUACAUGUGAUGUUAUGACUGUUUCUGGUUUAUUAAGAAGUGCUUGUGUUUGAGUCCACGUCAUGUAACAGCCACGUCGGCCGCUCCGCCACGUAGGGCCACGUCGGCCACUUUAUUUUAAAUCCCAAAAAAAGGUGCGGACCAAAGAGGCUCGAACCCGCGACCUCAAGGAAGCAUUGAGGAAGCGGACUGCGUGCCUAACCGCUGAGCUACU
rnacentral:lncRNA from 1 species